rnacentral:lncRNA from 1 species
GCCCGGAAAGGGUGGAGCACAACGUCGAAAGCAGCCGUUGGGAGCCCAGGAGGCGGGGCGCCUGUGGGAGCCGUGGAGGGAACUUUCCCAGUCCCCGAGGCGGAUCCGGUGUUGCAUCCUUGGAGCGAGCUGAGAGCUCGAGAACCUGCUAAGGCCAUCAAACCUAUUGAUCGGAAGUCAGUCCAUCAGAUUUGCUCUGGGCCGGUGGUACCGAGUCUAAGCACUGCGGUGAAGGAGUUAGUAGAAAACAGUCUGGAUGCUGGUGCCACUAAUAUUGAUCUAAAGCUUAAGGACUAUGGAGUGGAUCUCAUUGAAGUUUCAGGCAAUGGAUGUGGGGUAGAAGAAGAAAACUUCGAAGGCUUAACUCUGAAACAUCACACAUCUAAGAUUCAAGAGUUUGCCGACCUACCUCAGGUUGAAACUUUUGGCUUUCGGGGGGAAGCUCUGAGCUCACUUUGUGCACUGAGUGAUGUCACCAUUUCUACCUGCCAUGUAUCGGCGAAGGUUGGGACUCGACUGGUGUUUGAUCACUAUGGGAAAAUCAUCCAGAAAACCCCCUACCCCCACCCCAGAGGGAUGACAGUCAGUGUGAAGCAGUUAUUUUCUACGCUACCUGUGCACCAUAAAGAAUUUCAAAGGAAUAUUAAGAAGGACUCCUAGAAGUACCCCACCCCACCCCUGCUCCUUGGAGGACAACGUGAUCACUGUAUUCAGCUCUGUCAAGAAUGGUCCAGGUUCUUCUAGAUGAUCUGCACAAAUGGCUCCUCUCCUCCUUCCUGAUGUCUGCCAUUAGCACUGGAAUAAAGUUCCUGCUGAAAAUCCACAUCUCCCCUGGGUCCGGUGUUCUGGAAGUGAGAGAGACAAUGUCACACCUCAAGGAGACAGCUCUCUAGACAGGAAGGUUAUUCACGUCCCAUGUCAAGUCUAGCUAGAGUUCAGAGCAAUUGAGAAGUGCGAUUUUAUCUCCUGCCUUUCAUUCUAUACCCUGCUUCUGAACCAUCGUGUUCAACUGUGAAACUCACGCUUUGGUGACCCUGACUCCAAAACUUAAUACACCCAAGGUCAGCCCCAGUGAUCUGCUUCAUAGCGAGGACUUUGGGUGGGUCUUCCCAGGGAGUAGGGCACCCUCAGAGAAUGUGGCUUUGGACUUCAUCACAGCUAGGGUCUUUUGUGUCACUUCAGAUCUAAACUUGUAACUGUGCUAGAUCUGUUUCUAAUGUGACAACAUCACAAACCA